rnacentral:tRNA from 1 species
GGGAGAUUUCCCGAGUGGCCAAAGGGCGCAGACUGUAAAUCUGUUGUCGUCCGAGUUCCGUGGUUCGAAUCCACGAUCUCCCACCA